UUUGCAUAUCCAAUAAGCGGAGGAAAAGAAACCAACAGGGAUUGCCUCAGUAACGGCGAGUGAAGCGGCAAAAGCUCAAAUUUGAAACCCUCGGGAUUGUAAUUUGAAGAUUUGGCAUUGGAGAAAGCUAACCCAAGUUGCUUGGAAUAGUACGUCAUAGAGGGUGACAACCCCGUCUGGCUAACCGUUCUCCAUGUAUUGCCUUAUCAAAGAGUCGAGUUGUUUGGGAAUGCAGCUCAAAGUGGGUGGUAAACUCCAUCUAAAGCUAAAUACUGGUGAGAGACCGAUAGCGAACAAGUACUGUGAAGGAAAGGUGAAAAGAACUUUGAAAAGAGAGUGAAAUAGUAUGUGAAAUUGUUGAUAGGGAAGGAAAUGAGUGGAGAGUGGCCGAGGUUUCAGCCGCCCCUCGUGGGCGGUGUACUGCCGACGCCGAGUCAUCGAUAGCGAGACGAGGGUUACAAAUGGGAGCGCCUUCGGGCGUUCUCCCCUAACCCUCCACACUGCCACCGACGACAUCCUCGUG
rnacentral:rRNA from 1 species